CUUUUGCUGCUCUGCCAUCAACUGCUCUGGAGGGUAAUCAGGAACCGUGGUACCCAGAAUCUUGGGCAUCAUCAGACAUUUCCCAGGAACUUGUUCUGGAUGGAGAUAAUUCCCACAUGUUGACGAGAAAAUGUCCAGUGUCACCUUGCCACUUCCACAUCAACAGAAGGCGUCUAAUUCCCUUCCCUUUUGUUCUGCAUCAUCUUAAUGACCAUUUUCCUGAAAAUGUGUCAGAAAUGCUGCUGUCUGACUUCCAGGUUAGGUCAAAGGAGGUCACAUCUUGUCCAUCUUUCUCCCGUGGAACAUGCCCUCCAGAUGCUGCCUCUUGAGAUGCUCCCGCUCAGACCCCCACCAGUUGUUAAGGACCCAAGGCACAAGGAGCGGCCAUGUCUAAGGCCCAGCUGGACCGAGCAUUUGAGUCGUCUUAUCCCAGGUGCCAGACAUCUGCACAGUGAGCCUCCAGAUGAUUCCCUCUCCAGCCACGGAGUCACCCAGGCUUCACGUCUUCCCAGCUGAGGCCCAGAGGUAACGAAGCAGAGACACACCAUUUCCUCUGUGCCCUGUCCAAACUCCUGACCCACAGAA